AUGCAGGUUUCUGCCGGUGGCCAUGGCGGCCACAGCGACGCCGACGAUGCCGUCGACUUCCGCGGCAACCCGGUGGACAAAUCCAAGACCGGGGGAUGGCUCGGAGCCGGACUCAUCCUAGGGACGGAGCUUGCGGAGCGCGUGUGCGUGAUUGGCAUCUCGAUGAACCUGGUGACGUACCUCGUCGGCGAGCUGCACCUCUCCAACGCCAAAUCCGCCAACGUCGUCACCAACUUCAUGGGCACGCUCAACCUCCUAGCCCUCGUCGGCGGCUUCCUCGCCGACGCCAAGCUCGGCCGCUACCUCACCAUCGCCGUCUCGGCCACCAUCGCCGCCGCAGGCGUGAGCUUGCUGACGGUGGACACGGUGGUGCCGAGCAUGAGGCCGCCGCCGUGCGUGGACGCGCGGGGCGCGCAGGGGCACGAGUGCGUGCCGGCGAGCGGCGGGCAGCUGGCGCUGCUGUACGUGGCGCUGUACGUCAUCGCGGCCGGCGCGGGGGGCCUCAAGGCCAACGUGUCGGGGUUCGGGUCGGACCAGUUCGACGGCCGGAACCCGCGGGAGGAGCGCGCCAUGGUCUUCUUCUUCAACCGAUUCUACUUCUGCAUCAGCCUCGGGUCCCUGUUCGCGGUCACCGUGCUGGUGUACGUGCAGGACAACGUCGGACGGGGCUGGGGCUACGGCGUGUCGGCCGCCGCCAUGGCCCUCGGCGUCGUCGUGCUCGUGGCGGGGACGUCCAAGUACCGGUACCGGCGGCCGGCGGGGAGCCCGCUCACGGUCAUCGGUAGGGUGAUGUGGACGGCGUGGAAGAAGCGCAAGCUGCCGGCCCCUGCCAAUGCCGACGAGCUCAAUGGAUUCCACACGGCCAAGGUGGCCCAUACUGACAGGCUCAGGUGCCUCGACAAAGCCGCAGUUAUGGAUCAAGUCGACCUGGCCGCAAGUCCGACCAAGGAGGAGCAGGCGUCAGCCUCAACAAUGACGGAAGUGGAGGAGGUGAAGAUGGUACUGAACCUGCUGCCUAUCUGGUCCACCUGCAUCCUCUUCUGGACAAUAUACUCUCAGAUGACCACAUUCUCCGUGGAGCAAGCCACCCGCAUGGACCGUCACCUCAACGCCGGCUUCCUCAUCCCCGCCGGCUCCCUCUCCGUCUUCCUCUUCCUCUCCAUCCUCCUCUUCACCUCCCUCAACGAGCGCCUCCUCGUGCCGCUCGCCGCCCGCCUCACCGGCCGCCCGCAGGGGCUCACCUCGCUCCAGCGCGUAGGCACGGGCCUCGUCUUCGCGACCGUGGCCAUGGUCGUGGCCGCGCUGGUCGAGAAGAUGCGCCGCGACGCCGCGAACGGGGAGCCCCACGUCGCCAUCAGCGCGUUCUGGCUGGUGCCGCAGUUCUUCCUCGUGGGCGCCGGCGAGGCGUUCGCGUACGUGGGGCAGCUCGAAUUCUUCAUCCGCGAGGCGCCGGAGCGGAUGAAGUCCAUGAGCACGGGGCUCUUCCUGGUUACGUUGUCCAUGGGGUUCUUCCUGAGCAGCUUCCUCGUCUUCCUCGUCCACACCGUGACAAGGGGGGCAUGGAUACGGAAUAACCUGGAUAGGGGGAGGCUUGACUUGUUCUACUGGAUGCUGGCUGUGCUUGGGGUGGUGAACUUCCUUGUGUUCGUGGUGAUUGCGAGGCGGCACGAGUACAAGCCCAGCACCUCAGUGGUUGUGGCUCCCGCUGGGGAGGACAACGAUACCACGGAAAAGGAGAUGGACGACGUCCUUGUGGUCAGUGAGAACACUGUGGGGAUGGAUGUGUAG
rnacentral:rRNA from 1 species